UUAGUUAUUGGAUCACAGUAUGUAACAAAUUUUCACUUUUGUCUUGUUCCUGGGUUAAAACCAUAAUUUCCCAUUCUUCACAACCAAUCAAAAGAGAAAAGAGUGGUCUUGACCUCUAAACCUUGGUUUUGUGGUCAGGACAAUGAAAUUGCAAAUUAACCAGUUUUUGCAUUCACUGAGUGGUCACAACUAAUUUGUGGAAACGUUAAGUCGUUGUGGUCAUCAUAUUUUUUUGUGAUCAUGUCAAAAGGGUUCAAACAUCAUUUCAAGCAUAAUACAAUGUUGACAAAGCAAUUAUAUUGAUCAAAACCUUCAUUUGUACAGAUUGAGCAAGAACUUU